GCCCGCUUGGCUCAGUGGUAAAGCGUCUCACUCGUAUAACCACAGCGCAAUGAGAAGAUCAUCAGUUCGAUUCUGAUAGUGGGCA